rnacentral:rRNA from 1 species
CAUGUGGUUUAAUUCGACGCAACGCGAAGAACCUUACCAGGUCUUGACAUCUGUAGAAUCCGGUUGAAAGAUCGGAGUGCCUUCGGGAGCUACAAGACAGGUGGUGCAUGGUUGUCGUCAGCUCGUGUCGUGAGAUGUUGGGUUAAGUCCCGCAACGAGCGCAACCCUUGCUAUUAGUUGCUAACAGGUAGAGCUGAGCACUCUAAUGGGACUGCCCGUGACAAGCGGGAGGAAGGUGGGGAUGACGUCAAAUCAUCAUGCCCUUUAUGAUCUGGGCUACACACGUGCUACAAUGGAUGGUACAGAGAGCAGCGAGGCCGCGAGGUGGAGCGAAUCUCAAAAAGCCAUUCUCAGUUCGGAUUGCAGUCUGCAACUCGACUGCAUGAAGUCGGAAUCGCUAGUAAUCGCGAAUCAGCACGUCGCCGGUGAACUGCGUUCCCGGGCCUU